GCACCCCCCCAGUGCCACGGACCCAGCGCCCCUAUCACGCGUGCUGCCGUUAACGGCAGGGUUUACUCCCCCCCAUACUAAGCCCAACAUGCAAGGCGGACCCACCUGCUGCUUCUCCUGCCCCGGGCAGGUGCCUCCCAAGUGGCCAGCGCCCCCCGUCGUAGCCUGCAGUGGGUACACCACACAAGGGAACGAUACCGCACAAGCACAUACAUACAUGCAUACACACACGCGCGUUAACCAGGUUGGACCAUCACGUGAUAACGACGUGACGGGAGUCACAUCAGCGACGCACCCCCCCAGUGCCACGGACCCAGCGCCCCUAUCACGCAUGCUGCCGUUAACGGCAGGGUUUACCCCCCCCAUACUAAGCCCAACAUGCAAGGCGGACCCACCUGCUGCUUCUCCUGCCCCGGGCAGGUGCCUCCCAAGUGGCCAGCACCCCCCGUCGUAGCCUGCAGCGGGUACGCCACACAAGGGAACGAUACCGCACAAGCACAUACAUACAUGCAUACACACACGCGCGUUAACCAGGUUGGACCAUCACGUGAUAACGACGUGACGGGAGUCACAUCAG
rnacentral:lncRNA from 1 species